rnacentral:miRNA from 12 species
UGAGCUGAGCUGGGCUGAGCUGAGUGGGCUGGGCUGAGCUGAGCUGGGCUGGGCUGGGC